rnacentral:misc_RNA from 1 species
CGAGCACAUCAGGGAAUUUUCUUUGAAGCAAGAUAAUACUGAAAUACCGGAUAGCAAAUUGUCCAGCUCGAGUCACAGUCGCGGUCUGAUUAGCCGUGAUCAUCCAGGCUACUCUUUACACGAUUAUGAAGAAUAUCCGCAUUUUGAUUACGGAUACGAUCAUCAUAUACCAAUUGCCGAUCAUCACGAAUUCGGUCAUCACAGCUAUGACCCAUACCACUAUGGACACCACUACGG